rnacentral:rRNA from 1 species
AUGAACGCUGGCGGCGUGCCUAAUACAUGCAAGUCGAGCGAACAGAUGAGGAGCUUGCUCCUCUGACGUUAGCGGCGGACGGGUGAGUAACACGUGGAUAACCUACCUAUAAGACUGGGAUAACUUCGGGAAACCGGAGCUAAUACCGGAUAAUAUAUUGAACCGCAUGGUUCAAUAGUGAAAGACGGUUUUGCUGUCACUUAUAGAUGGAUCCGCGCCGCAUUAGCUAGUUGGUAAGGUAACGGCUUACCAAGACAACGAUGCGUAGCCGACCUGAGAGGGUGAUCGGCCACACUGGAACUGAGACACGGUCCAGACUCCUACGGGAGGCAGCAGUAGGGAAUCUUCCGCAAUGGGCGAAAGCUUGACGGAGCAACGCCGCGUGAGUGAUGAAGGUCUUCGGAUCGUAAAACUCUGUUAUUAGGGAAGAACAAAUGUGUAAGUAACUAUGCACGUCUUGACGGUACCUAAUCAGAAAGCCACGGCUAACUACGUG